rnacentral:rRNA from 1 species
CGUGAGAUGUUGGGUUAAGUCCCGCAACGAGCGCAACCCUUAUUGUUAGUUGCCAUCAUUUAGUUGGGCACUCUAGCGAGACUGCCGGUGACAAACCGGAGGAAGGUGGGGAUGACGUCAAAUCAUCAUGCCCCUUAUGACCUGGGCUACACACGUGCUACAAUGGGAAGUACAACGAGUUGCGAAGUCGCGAGGCUAAGCUAAUCUCUUAAAGCUUCUCUCAGUUCGGAUUGUAGGCUGCAACUCGCCUACAUGAAGCCGGAAUCGCUAGUAAUCGCGGAUCAGCACGCCGCGGUGAAUACGUUCCCGGGCCUUGUACACACCGCCCGUCACACCACGAGAGUUUGUAACACCCGAAGUCGGUGAGGUAACCUUUUUGGAGCCAGCCGCCUAAGGUGGGAUAGAUGAUUGGGGUGAAGUCGUAACAAGGUAGCCGUAUCGGAAGGUGCGGCUGGAUCACCUCCUUUCUAAGGAA